AGUUUCCAAACAGUCAGAUCCAUGGCUUGGGUCAGGAAUGCUGUUUGGUUCUUUGUUCUUUGUCUGGUGUCUGUUUUUGUGGACUUUAAAGUGCAGAUGUAAUUUUUUUUUUUUCUUGGUCAUCAACAUUGCCAGAAGUAAAACAGCUUUUGAUGAAAUCACUGAUUUGAGGCAAGUGUUCUAAGACCAAUGAUAGACUGUUGCUGGCACCUAGAUUCAAUUUUACCUCCUAUGAAAUACAGAUUUCAUAAAAUGCCCCAUGACUUCGCUGAGCUGUUUCAAUUUUCUUAAAUCGGUUUUGAAAAAAUAUUUUACCUUCUUCAGCCAGUCAAUUUUCUUGACUUUUUGACCUUUAAAUUCAAUCUCUUGUAUCUAAAUUAGUUGGCACAGAACAAAAAUACAAUACUGGAAACUUAGCUGCCUUACAGAAGCAAUGGGCAAAAUUCUGCUUGCAGUACAAACCUGGAGCAAAUUUACUGGCUUUAUGCCAGAUCUGAACUGAAAGCAAAGGGAGGCUGUUUAUUUUGAUGCCAAAUUAUAUAUAAAUGCUGUACAAAUUGUGUCCUUGCAGAAUAUCACUCUUUCUACACACACAAAUAUUUAUGUGAUGAAUAGACUAUACAGCAGAGAUAAUGUGACACUAAACUUUCAGGCAUUUGUACUGGAACAAUUAUGUAACAUGCUGUUAUUUUAGAAGAUGUUGCCUUUGUAAGUCUUUGCACUUCAUUGUUUUUCUAUGGCAAACUUGCCAUUUUUCUAGAUGGUUAUAAAUGUGACAGUAAUAUAUCUACAAAGCCACGGUAAUUAAAUAUAUAAUUAAUAAAGCAUUAUGCAAUUUAAAGAGGUGUUCAAACUGUAAGUGAUAAGAUAUUACAUUUCAAUGCUACUUUCAUUAAAGAUAUUACAAGGAAAAAAUCAGGUAUAUACCGCUGAAAAGCCCUUGGCUACCUAUUGGGAGAGGGGGUGUGAAUUUUAUUGUCCAUCUAAUUACUUGGCUGAAGAUUCUGAGAUUUAAAAUCCCAUUUCCCACCCCAGUAGGGAUGUUAGAUAUUGUUUCCUGGCAUAAAUCCAAGCCAAAGAGAGAUUUUCUGCAUACCAACAUGCCCCUACUGCUACAGCUGAAUAUAUUUCUUGACGGUUUGUCCUGAAAAUACUAUAUAGUAUUGCUUUUGCUCUCUGCUCUGCAGGCAGGUGAUGUGACAGAGUACCUAACAAUAUAGUGAGGGACAUUGUGCCAGUCCUUCACAGCCUCUGCCAAGGAACCCUGAUAGGUGCAGAUUUGGUGGCCUGAGGGUCUCCUAACUCCACCAGGCCAUUACCCCACUUUUAUAGUCAGCGGGAGCCAAAGUGUAUCUGGUGUGUAAAGGUGGGAUGCAGUAGGGGCCAGCUGUGAGCCUCCGUAUCGUCCUACAAAACGUCAAGAUCCUUUGGAAAAGCUCUGUAAGAACUAAUGGAUAAUGCAUAUUGCAAGGGAAGCCCCUUAGGUGUUACUGAGAGAAAACCUUUGUCCUAUUUUAAAUUAAAUUUAUUAUUUGUCUCUGCAAUUUUGAGCUUGAAGACAAAAUGGUAAUGUGGGAAAUGGCAGUGUGAUGUGUGCGAGUGUUGGAUGGAGCUAGAGUUCUGAGCUGCUGAUACAUGGCCCAGGUACUGCACCCACAUGGGGAAAGCUGCUGGGAAUGAUGCUUUACCUGCCUUCAUCCUCUUUGAGUCCACGGCAGGGCUUGCAUCUCGUCUUUCAUUGUCAAGGCAAAUCUAUUGGAUUUGCUAUGUAGAGCAGUGCAAAAUUCCCAGAAAUGCAAAGCCAAUUUAUUUUGCUUUUUUGCCUGUGCAUGGUGCAGACAUUGCAGCAAGGAUCUGGUCAUUUACAUUGUGGGGACCUGAAAGCCCCACCACGAGGUCUGCAGCCACCCUGCUGAUUUAUAAAGAAACAAAAAAAACAGUGAACUAGACAAAACAAGGGAUGAGACAAUAAAUAUUUCAGAUUUUCCCUCCAAAGAGUAUUAAUUUAUUGAACAUUUAAAGCUCCUAAUUAAGUAUAUAAAACAAUCAUUCUUCCUCCCUCUCUCUCUUGUUUAAUAAGGUUUCUAGAGCAAAGCAAAGGUGUGAAGUCGGUCAGGCUCUCCUCAGAGGAUUAAGGCAAAUUGUCAAGGAUGAGCAGGCAAGUCUUGCCAGGGAUGGCAAGAUAUCAUCUGACAGUGCAGAAGCAAACAACCGUGGCUGCUUGGGGACACGUGUGCUGCGAUUGGACUCGCGGCAGGAAUUAACACGGGGCAGUGCUGCAGCCAGCCAAGGCACUGUGUCAGGAGGGAUAAUCACAGCGGUCCCCUCCGGCUUGGCAAUUUCUGAAUCUCUGAAAAUAUCCAUCCAAAGGUCAGGGGAGAAAUGCAGCUUUACGGACCCCAGCACUUGCUUGCAGACAGUCUUUGGGGAAACUGCACCAUGGAGAAAACCAAAGGAGAGAAAGCCAUGAAGCUGGGGAAUGGGCUUUGGUGGAGGUGGAAAAAAAGAUGGAAAAAAGGAGUUUCAAAUGGUAUCAGGCAUGGACACGCAUCUGGAUGAAAGAAGCUGUGACUCAGCUCAUUGAAGAG